rnacentral:rRNA from 1 species
UACGAAGGGGGCUAGCGUUGUUCGGAAUUACUGGGCGUAAAGGGCGCGUAGGCGGUACUUCAAGUCAGGCGUGAAAGCCCCGGGCUCAACCUGGGAACCGCGCUUGAGACUGGAGAACUAGAGUUCGGGAGAGGAUGGUGGAAUUCCCAGUGUAGAGGUGAAAUUCGUAGAUAUUAGGAAGAACACCAGUGGCGAAGGCGGCUCACUGGAUCGGUACUGACGCUGAGGUGCGAAAGCGUGGGGAGCAAACAGG